rnacentral:rRNA from 1 species
GGGGAAUAUUGGACAAUGGGGGGAACCCUGAUCCAGCCAUGCCGCGUGUGUGAAGAAGGCCUUAUGGUUGUAAAGCACUUUAAGCGAGGAGGAGGCUCUUUUGGUUAAUACCCAAGAUGAGUGGACGUUACUCGCAGAAUAAGCACCGGCUAACUCUGUGCCAGCAGCCGCGGUAAUACAGAGGGUGCGAGCGUUAAUCGGAAUUACUGGGCGUAAAGCGCGCGUAGGUGGUUCGUUAAGUUGGAUGUGAAAGCCCCGGGCUCAACCUGGGAACUGCAUCCAAAACUGGCGAGCUAGAGUAUGGCAGAGGGUGGUGGAAUUUCCUGUGUAGCGGUGAAAUGCGUAGAUAUAGGAAGGAACACCAGUGGCGAAGGCGACCACCUGGGCUAAUACUGACACUGAGGUGCGAAAGCGUGGGGAGCAAACA